rnacentral:rRNA from 1 species
GUCUCCUACGGGACGCAGCAGUGGGGAAUUUUUGGACAAUGGGCGCGAGCCUGAUCCAGCUAUUCCGCGUGUGGGAUGAAGGCCCUCGGGUUGUAAACCACUUUUGUAGAGAACGAAAAGACACCUUCGAAUAAAGGGUGUUGCUGACGGUACUCUAAGAAUAAGCACCGGCUAACUACGUGCCAGCAGCCGCGGUAAUACGUAGGGUGCGAGCGUUAUCCGGAUUUAUUGGGUGUAAAGGGCGUGUAGGCGGGAUUGCAAGUCAGAUGUGAAAACCACGGGCUCAACCUGUGUCCUGCAUUUGG